ACCUGGGUGGCUCAAUCGGUAGAGCAUAAGACUCUUAAUCUUGUGGGUCAUGAGUUUAAGCCCCAGAUU
rnacentral:tRNA from 1 species